GUGGGGAAUAUUGGACAAUGGGCGCAAGCCUGAUCCAGCCAUGCCGCGUGAGUGAUGAAGGCCUUAGGGUUGUAAAGCUCUUUCGUCAGGGAAGAUAAUGACGGUACCUGAAGAAGAAGCCCCGGCUAACUUCGUGCCAGCAGCCGCGGUAAUACGAAGGGGGCUAGCGUUGUUCGGAAUUACUGGGCGUAAAGCGCACGUAGGCGGAUAUUUAAGUCAGGGGUGAAAUCCCAGAGCUCAACUCUGGAACUGCCUUUGAUACUGGGUAUCUCGAGUAUGGAAGAGGUGAGUGGAAUUCCGAGUGUAGAGGUGAAAUUCGUAGAUAUUCGGAGGAACACCAGUGGCGAAGGCGGCUCACUGGUCCAUUACUGACGCUGAGGUGCGAAAGCGUGGGGAGCAAACAGGAUUAGAAACCCUUGUAGUCC
rnacentral:rRNA from 1 species